AAGCUCCCUGCUCUCAGGAGAAUCUGGCACAGCACCAUCACCAACUCAGAGGGAGGGAAGCAACCUUGAGUCAGCUCCCAGGCAGUAAUGAGUGUUCAAGGGAGAUAUAACUCUAAGGAAAAGGAUUGAGGUCAUGGAAUUAGAAGAAACAGAUGGAAGAAUCAUUUGAACCAUAUCCAGGUCUUUUGAAAAUGAUGAGACAGAAGAGAAAGAGAAAAUUGCUUCAGACAGUUUUGCUGAGAAAUUUGUCUCAGAUAAAUUUUGGAGUAAGGUCAGAGACCUAAGAUAAGAAAACCCCUAGGCAGAGGUGGGAAAAAAUAGAAAAAAGAAAACGAAAAGAGCAAAUACAUUCUUCCUUCCUAUCUUCCACUUGCCAGAGUAGCUUUACUAAGAUGCUGCCUGAUCAUUUCUCUCCAGACACUUUUGCCAAUGAUAUUAAUACUAUAAAGGAGCAUUUCUGGACUUGAUUCAUUAAUGAUUAGAAAGCUCGUAACAGAUUAGAUGACCAGGCUACAGUCUCACCUGCCAGGCAGUGCAGCUGCAGAUCUUGGCUGACCAUCAUGUCAGCACCUACUAUGUGCCAGUCACUGUGCCAGGAGUUGGAAAUAUGAGGAAGACCGUAAUUCUCAUAAUGAGAAUACAAGGAAGACCAUCUCUCAAGAAAGGAACAUCAUAAAACAUGUUUACUGUCAAGUCCUUGUCAUUAUCAAAAAUAUCUCCGGAUUGAUGUCAUUCUGAGAAAAGUGAUUUCAUACUGAAAAAAAAUUCUACAAAAAUAGUAAAACUCUUCUUCUCAAUUUUCAGAACUUGGAUGGGGUUGGGGGCAGGUGCUUUCAUCUAUUUUCAUCUUGUCCUGGUAGAAAUUAUUUGCUUGAUUAACAUUUUGGUGGGGAAGUUCAGUCUCUAAGGCUACAGAUGAGAAGAUCAGUUACUGGAUGGGUUCCUAACUUCAAUGUCAAAUCCAAGAGCCUGAAAAUAAAGUAUGGAAAGAAAGGGAAACAAAGAAAAGUUAUCAGACAAUGUGAAGACAUUUUAUGGAGAGGAAGAAAGAGUGAGUGAGCACAGGAAAAAUCACAAAGCAGUAUAUGAAGAAAAGAAAGAGAUAACAGUUAUUAGUAAGUAAAGAGAUAAUUAAGAGAUAAUCCUUUCAGUGGCAUGAACACCAUAGUUUGUGACAUCACUGGUCAUUAAUGAUUUGUAAGAAGCAGUGUCUCAACUAUGUUUCUGUUACAUUAAUUAUACCCGAAAUAAAAUAUUUGCACACC
rnacentral:lncRNA from 1 species